GGGAGUGACCGGGCUUUAUUUCUCUGCCACAGCACAGAAGGCUUGGUAGAAAGAUUCAUUGAAGUACAAAGAGGAUAUAAUUAGCCUCCCAAAUUACUCCAAACCUGCUGCUGCCUCACUUCAGCUGACUAAAGAUCACUUUAUGACCAGGAGAUAACAGUUUUAUGUGUUUGGGCUAUUCCCAAGUGCUGCUGGUCAAAUCUGCCCCUCGGUCAGAUCUUCUAGAAAUACAAGCUGUGAGUUCCUUGUCCUGAUGAUGAGAACUGCUAAUCACCCAAGGAGCCUUUGUGGGUGUGAGUCAAGCCAGGAGAGCUCUGUCUUUGUUUGACGUAAUUCUUCCAGAGGAAGGGUUGGAAAGCCAGGAAGGAGGUGAAGUUUCUGACACAUCCCUGCUCUCUGCACGUGUCCCACCAGAUUUCGUGGCAGCUCAGGAACGGACCCAGAGGAUUAUGGUAAC